GCAGAGUUUUGAUGCUGGGGUGGGGGGAAGGGAAGUUUUUUUUUCCUUUUCAAAAACACUCUUGGGAUUAUAGGUAAAUCCCUGAAGAUGAUCAACAGUAACAUGCUGAAGCCUUGGGAGGAGAGUUUUCAAGCUCUCUGGCCACAGCUGUAACUGGUAUAAUCAGUGGAGCUGCACUGAUUUAUCCAAGCUGAGGAUCUGACCCCAUUUUCAGCACGCAGUUUAGCUGCAGCUGGGGAUGGGCUGUCUCUCUCUCCACACUUAGAUGGGGCUCCUCACCAGGGCCCACAACUAAUCUAUGCGUAGGGGCCAGCAAACAGUUUUCAAGUCCCCGGGGCAGCUGCUCCCUGAAACAAACUCGGAGGUGUCCAUAAGUUUAAAUAGCUCGGAAAGAGCAAGCGGUGGCUCCAGGCGGGCACUGGAGCCCUGCCACGCUCAAGGCUGCAGUUUGGGCCUACAAGAUGCCGAGCGCCCCUAGCUCUUAUCGGUAACGGGAACAAAGGGCACCGCAGAGGCUCGCAGCAUCAACCUGUUGGAUGCCUACUGUAGGCAAAGGGGCGCUCUUCCCCACUCCCCGUGCCAUGGCAUCUAGGGCAGUUGACCUGUUGGGACUGCAAAGCUCUGCUACAAUGUACCUGUGUUGCCUACAGGUCCCUAGGGAGCCCCUGGCUCUUCCAAGGGGUGCCUCCAGCGUGCCGGCGGGGCCAAGCAUGUGUGCUCUUGUCGGGACUUGGCGCGAAGAGCAUGGGAAAAGGCAUUCGGUGAUCUGUGCCGCUCGGGAGCCCCGGGGGGAGAUCAGCAAACAAACAAGCAAACAAGCAAGCUGCAACGGCUGAUGCUGCUGGUGUUUAAUCACACAGCUCAGUGCUAAUCGGGAUCCAGCAUAAGCAGCGGGCAGGUGUUUCAGCCUUCCCUUCCCUGUUCAGGUUACUGCCGGACAAACAGAAGAGCACACCUCUAAAGGGGGCUGCGACCCCAGGGCCUGACCUGCCAGGACUUACCCACGCCAGCCUAGCUUUUCACACUAGACACAACCACGCUGCAGUAAGUUAAGAGGAGUGCAAGCCUUUGCAGGAUCAGGGCCUAAGUAACCCUUGCUGUAGGGCAGGCUCAGGCCAUGCUAAUGAGACUGCCUGUUGGUACACAGGUCUACACUAGUGCACAACUGCUGCCCAAGAUCGGUUAUAUGUUUGCACUGUAGUAAUACCGAGAAGCCCAAGUCAGGGACCAGGAUCCCAUUAGAUGAGUCUCUGAACAAGCACAGAAAGAAAGCACAUCCCCACCCCCCGUUACAAAUGCUUCUAAUGUCAAUGGCUUGAAAAAAAGGAGCCAAGCAAAUAUAUAACAUUGUGAAUACAUUUUUCCUCGGUAACUGAGGACUGAUUGACAGUUACCAAACCAGGGAGAGCAAUCUUGAUUUCUACUUACAACAAUUUAAGGGAAAAACCUCCGAGGACCUGCCUACACUGAUCUUGCAGCUGUGUUUAAGACAGUUUCUGCAAAACCAGUUUAUCACACACUUUUGCUGCCAGGUGGGGAUGGCUUUAGAAGGGUUUUGAAAGGACACCAGCAAUCUGAAAUGCACUCAGGUUUACAAACAGAGCUAAAAACCUACCACACUUUCCCUUCCCACUUUCCGAAUACCCUCCCAAUUUUUGCAGCUUGGAAUUGCUGUUUUUCAGCAUUGCUUUUUAUCCCCCGCCUCCUGCCACUCACUCCCCCCAAUGUGUUUCGAUUCCCAUGUUUCUGGGUGGAAAACCAUGCAAACUGAAAGAGGAAGUUGACAGAGUGCAGAAAGGUAACAAUAAAACCGACUUUGCCCAACCUGAUACCAAAUGCACAAGGGAAGCAACGUGAAAAAUAAAGACAGCUCUUCCUUCAUCUUUUCAGUUAUUGUGAGCUUGGAGGUUAUUCAUAGCGGGAGAUAAUCAAACGUCACUAAAAAAAAAAAAGAAAAGAAAAAGUUGUCUGUAGCCCUUUAAGAACACCCAAGACUAGAAUUCAGAGGUUAAAUUCAAAUGUAAGCUGAACAAUUUAAAAAAAUAAUAAUAAUUGUACCUAGCACUGGCUAAAAUGUUUCUGUGGAGCAGUUUUUCAUCCAAAAAAAGCAGUUUCGUUGCAAGCAAAAUGUUUUGCAGGAGAGUGCCAAUUUCAAUUGUUUGCAACAGAAUUUUUUCAAAACAAAUUGUUGCGACAGUCUCAUUUAAUUAAUGUCAAAACAUUGCUUAGACCCCCCCAACACACUUCAUUUUUUUUAAU